CUAGUCUAUACCUAAUAAUAAAGGGAAAAGUGUUUCCGUGGUUUGGUUUGGUUUGGUCGUCGCAAAAUCGCAGUCGUCCGCUCAUAAAAUCAUGUCCGUCCGUCUCCUUCGCUCGUACGUCCGCCCGCACGUGUUACAGAAGUCUUGCUUCGCGAUAUGGGACAAAAACGAACGAACCUAACUCAGGAAUCCCAUCGAUCGCAUCGAUCCGUAAAUUACCUAUAUCCCAGCCAAUUCUCAUGGCCCAAGAUCUAGGCCUGCCAAUUCUCACGGCCCAAGAUCCUGGCCUGCAGCUGCACCUCCACGCAUAGGCAGAGAGCUCUUCUUCCCCUUCGCUGAAUCGCAAAGGGACUUCGAAGACGAACUCUACUCGAGCUCCAACGGGAUGGUGCUGAAGAGGAACUCCGACACAAACUCUGCUCCGACAAGAACUCCGCUUUGCCUGUUCGGCGAGCCUAUAUAAAGCAAGGACACUCUCGACCAAAAAAACAAAUCAAUUGCAAGUUCCAGCAACCCUCGACAUUGCCAUUGUCUGAAGACUUCGCCGGAAAUCGGUCCUUCAAGCCGUAAAUCCGUCCACGAAAGUUUCGGCGUCCCUCGACCAAAGCCUGUCCUACACAUUGCCAUCGUUCUCCACUAAACAAGGAAAAGUGAGGGAGGAGAAGGCAGGGAUGGGAGGCCGCAGGAAAGCCAAAACAUCUGUUCCAAUUGAUGAGGAGAAAAUGAAUCACAAUGUUGAAACAAACAUUGUGAGUAGGCAGAAGAUGGGAGGUCGCAGGAAAGCCAAACCAUCUGUUUCUAUCGAUAACGAG